rnacentral:rRNA from 1 species
UAGGGAAUAUAAGUAAUGGGCGAAAGCCUGAACUAGCAACGCCGCGUGUGCGAAGAAGGCCUUCGGGUUGUAAAGCACUUUUUGAGAGGAUGAGGAAGGACGGUACUCUCAGAAUAAGUCUCGGCUAACUACGUGCCAGCAGCCGCGGUAACACGUAGGAUGCGAACGUUAUCCGUAUUUACUGGGCGUAAAGCGAGUGUAGGUGGUUUGGUAAGUAGGUCGUGAAAGCUCCUGGC